rnacentral:rRNA from 1 species
GGCCGCGGGAAUUCGAUUCAGGCCUAACACAUGCAAGUCGAGCGGGGUUUUCGGACCUAGCGGCGGACGGGUGAGUAAUGCGUAGGAAGCUACCCGAUAGAGGGGGAUACCAGUUGGAAACGACUGUUAAUACCGCAUAAUGUCUACGGACCAAAGUGUGGGACCUUCGGGCCACAUGCUAUCGGAUGCGCCUACGUGGGAUUAGCUAGUUGGUGAGGUAAUGGCUCACCAAGGCGACGAUCCCUAGCUGGUUUGAGAGGAUGAUCAGCCACACUGGAACUGAGACACGGUCCAGACUCCUACGGGAGGCAGCAGUGGGGAAUAUUGGACAAUGGGCGCAAGCCUGAUCC